GACAGGGGCCCCAAGCGUUAAUCGGAAUCACUGGGCUUAAAGGGUGCGUAGGCGGACCGCAAAGCGUCUUGUGAAAUCCCCCGGCUCAACCGGGGAACCGCAGGGCGAACUGGCGGUCUCGAGGCAAGUAGGGGCGGGCAGAACAGUCGAUGGAGCGGUGAAAUGCGUAGAUAUCGACUGGAAUGCCGAUGGUGAAGACGGCCCGCUGGGCUUGUCCUGACGCUGAGGCACGAAAGCGUGGGGAGCAAACAGG
rnacentral:rRNA from 1 species